GAGAAUCGCAUGAUCCACUGACGAAAGAUAUUUCGGUUUGGGAGCGUCUCGCGGCCUAUCAGCUUGUUGGUGGGGUAAUGGCCUACCAAGGCAACGACGGGUAGCUGGUCUGAGAGGAUGAUCAGCCACACUGGGACUGAGACACGGCCCAGACUCCUACGGGAGGCAGCAGUGGGGAAUCUUGCGCAAUGGGCGAAAGCCUGACGCAGCAACGCCGCGUGCGGGAUGAAGGCCUUCGGGCUGUAAACCGCUUUCAGCAGGAACGAAAAUGACGGUACCUGCAGAAGAAGGAGCGGCCAACUACGUGCCAGCAGCCGCGGUGACACGUAGGCUCCAAGCGUUGUCCGGAUUUAUUGGGCGUAAAGAGCUCGUAGGCGGUUGAGUAAGUCGGGUGUGAAAACUCUGGGCUUAACCCGGAGACGCCAUCCGAUACUGCUCUGACUAGAGUUCAGGAGGGGAGUGGGGAAUUCCUAGUGUAGCGGUGAAAUGCGCAGAUAUUAGGAGGAACACCGGUGGCGAAGGCGCCACUCUGGACUGAAACUGACGCUGAGGAGCGAAAGCAUGGGUAGCAAACAGGAUUAGAUACCCUGGUAGUCCAUGCCGUAAACGGUGGGCACUAGGUGUGGGUUCCAACUAAUGGGAUCCGCGCCGUCGCUAACGCAUUAAGUGCC
rnacentral:rRNA from 1 species